AGAGUUUGAUCAUGGCUCAGGACGAACGCUGGCGGCGUGCUUAACACAUGCAAGUCGAACGAGAUCCAUGGUGUAGCAAUACACCGGAAGAUCUAGUGGCGAACGGGUGAGGAACACGUGAAGAACCUGCCCCGAACUCUGGGAUAACAGUUGGAAACGACUGCUAAUACCGGAUGCCGUUGUCGGAGUCACAUGGCUCUACAACGAAAGUUUUUCGGUUCGGGAGGGCUUCGCGGCCUAUCAGCUUGUUGGUGAGGUAACGGCUCACCAAGGCAUCGACGGGUAGCUGGUCUGAGAGGAUGAUCAGCCACACUGGGACUGAGACACGGCCCAGACUCCUACGGGAGGCAGCAGUGGGGAAUCUUGCGCAAUGGGCGAAAGCCUGACGCAGCAACGCCGCGUGCGGGAAGAAGGCUUUAGGGUUGUAAACCGCUUUCAGCAGGGAAGAAAAUGACGGUACCUGCAGAAGAAGGUGCGGCCAACUACGUGCCAGCAGCCGCGGUGACACGUAGGCACCAAGCGUUGUCCGGAUUUAUUGGGCGUAAAGAGCUCGUAGGCGGUUCAGUAAGUCGGGUGUGAAAACUCUGGGCUUAACCCAGAGCCGCCACCCGAUACUGCUGUGACUUGAGUCCGGUAGGGGAGCGGGGAAUUCCUGGUGUAGCGGUGAAAUGCGCAGAUAUCAGGAGGAACACCGGUGGCGAAGGCGCCGCUCUGGGCCGAGACUGACGCUGAGGAGCGAAAGCAUGGGUAGCAAACAGGAUUAGAUACCCUGGUAGUCCAUGCCGUAAACGUUGGGCACU
rnacentral:rRNA from 1 species